GAGUUUGAUCGUGGCUCAGAUUGAACGCUGGCGGCAUGCCUUACACAUGCAAGUCGAACGGCAGCACGGGAGCUUGCUCCUGGUGGGCGAGUGGCGAACGGGUGAGUAAUGCAUCGGAACGUAUCCUGGAGUGGGGGAUAACGUAGCGAAAGUUACGCUAAUACCGCAUAUUCUGUGAGCAGGAAAGCGGGGGACCUUCGGGCCUCGCGCUCUUGGAGCGGCCGAUGUCGGAUUAGCUAGUUGGUGAGGUAAAGGCUCACCAAGGCGACGAUCCGUAGCAGGUCUGAGAGGAUGAUCUGCCACACUGGAACUGAGACACGGUCCAGACUCCUACGGGAGGCAGCAGUGGGAAUUUUGGACAAUGGGGGCAACCCUGAUCCAGCCAUGCCGCGUGAGUGAAGAAGGCCUCGGUU
rnacentral:rRNA from 1 species